ACUGAUGACCUUAUUCAGACGGAAGGCAUCAUCAAAACUGGGAAGACAGCAGAUGCUCUGGCUGAAAUUUUAAAAAUCCAUGAUGAACAGGAAAUCCAUGACAUACACACCAAGCGCACUACUGUUCUCCACGUCCUUCCUGUGUAUCUGCGAGAGGACGUCUCUGGAUGUUUAAGAACCUGCACAGAUGAGUCUGAUGAGCCAGAGCUUGAUGGUGUUGCAGUGGGCCUCAUUACUUUCAUCGGUGACCAUGACGCAAGUCCAGUUCACUACCGCCCUGUGAGAAUCACUGUCGUCCAUUGAAAGUGAUGCCGUGGUCAGCCUUCCCAGACUUGGCGAUGCCUUCCUGGUAAUCUGUGGAGUGAUCUAUGCACUACACCUCAGCUAUCCCAAAGCACUGACCAACACUUUUGAAUUCACUCUAAAGAUUUAACUUGGUCUAGAAAGUGGUAAACUAUCCCCGAGGUUGCAGACCCUCAAGAAUGAAUUAAUGAUGUAGAAACUCAUCUG